CCCUUAGAUGUUCUGGGCCGCACACGCGCUACACUGAAGGAGGCAGCGUGUACUCCUGGAUCGAAAGAUUUGGGUAACCCGCGAAUCUCCUCCGUGCUAGGGAUUGAGGUUUGCAAUUAUCCUUCAUGAACGAGGAAUUCCCAGUAAGUGCAAGUCAUAAGCUUGCGCUGACUACGUCCCUGCCCUUUGUACACACCGCCCGUCGCUACUACCGAUUGAAUGAUUUAGUGAGGACUUCGGACUGGGACCGAUGCGGCUUUCGGGCUGCGUCGGUAUUCUGGAAAGAUGUCCAAACUGUAUCAUUUAGAGGAAGUAAAAGUCGUANCA
rnacentral:rRNA from 1 species